rnacentral:rRNA from 1 species
AGUGAACGCUGGCGGUAGGCCUAACACAUGCAAGUCGAACGGCAGCACAGUAAGAGCUUGCUCUUACGGGUGGCGAGUGGCGGACGGGUGGGGAAUACAUCGGAAUCUACUUUUUCGUGGGGGAUAACGUAGGGAAACUUACGCUAAUACCGCAUACGACCUACGGGUGAAAGCAGGGGAUCUUCGGACCUUGCGCGAUUGAAUGAGCCGAUGUCGGAUUAGCUAGUUGGCGGGGUAAAGGCCCACCAAGGCGACGAUCCGUAGCUGGUCUGAGAGGAUGAUCAGCCACACUGGAACUGAGACACGGUCCAGGCUCCUACGGGAGGCAGCAGUGGGGAAUAUUGGACAAUGGGCGCAAGCCUGAUCCAGCCACACCGCGUGGGUGAAGAAGGCCUUCGGGUUGUAAAGCCCUUUUGUUGGGAAAGAAAAGCAGCAGGUUAAUACCCCGCUGUUCUGACGGUACCCAAAGAAUAAGCACCGGCUAACUUCGUG